rnacentral:tRNA from 1 species
UAAAAAUUGGAAUCCUAAGGAGAGUUCCAUUCUUCUCGUGGGAGAAUGGGAGAUCUUUCCUUCCCAAUUUACAGCGUCCGAAUCUUUGGAUUUUAA